rnacentral:lncRNA from 1 species
AGAUAGUCUCAUAUUGAUGAAACCAUUCCCUUAUUGGUGUCAUGUGCCAUGUAGCUCCUGAAUCCAUAAGCCAGACGUCAGAAAAUUUCUUUCUGCCUUCAACAACUGUUGUUGCCUCGCUGUAUAAAAUUUCACCAUCAUCUGAGGUACUUGAUACACAACCCUGAGCUUUUGAUGUCUCAGGACCUUUUCCUUUAGCUUCUUCAUUCUUCUUGAGACUCCAACAAUCCCUUUUUAAGUGCCCUUUCUUGUCACAGUAAUGACACUUGGCAUUUUUCUUACUCCUGGAUUUUGAUCUACUCUGAUUAUGACUCCCACUGGAGCCACGUUCCGUUGAUCUCCCUCUCAUCAUCGUUAAAGCUUCUGCCUGAUUCGAACUUGUCAAUCUAUCCUCCUUAUUCUUGCGCCU